CACGUGUGCCAGGAUAGAAGACAAGGAUUUUUAAAAAAAUAAACAAAUAUUGAGGCCCUAGUGUAUGUCAGGCAACAGGCUGUGGCUUACCCGAGUUUUCUCAGUUAAUCUUCAAAAAACCUUCUGUGUUAGUACAGACUUCUUGCCUUACCAAGCACAUUGUGAUUCUUCAUAUAAUUAUAAGGGUUUGUACUGAGUGCAGAGAUCAUGGGUAUUCAUGCCAGCCGGUCCUGAGCUCAGAUUUGAGCUUUGCUACUUGUUGGCCAUACGAACUCCAGCAAGUUACCUGAGCUCCUUGAGUCUCAAGCCUUUUCAUUUGUAAGCCGAGAACAGCUAUACUUCCUCGCAGAUUGUUAGGAAGAAAUAUCGAGUUGAUGUAGCAUAUCAAGCAGUCUAGCAAGAGGUGCUUACUGUUAUUCUGUAUUAUUCAGAGUUUCCGCCCGUCCUGGAAAAGAAAAGAUGGCAAAGGCUUUGGAAGACACACGUUAGUUAAAGGAUCAGCCCAGUGCUCCCACAGCUCCGAAGUGGGCAGCUUCAAUUUGCAAAACUGGAAGUUAGUUGCUGCAAUAACCCAGCGGGCAUUUGAACAACUGCCAGGCCUUCCGAAUGGAGCCUUCUGCCCUUGGGAAUCCUCACAUAGCUGCUGAAGCCUCGUGAGUAAGCCCUGGUAACUGUUUAAAACAUAUUAGCUUUGAGCCAGGUUUGUCACUGCCUGCUUGAUCAACACCGCUUAUGAAGAGCUGUCUCUGCAUCUGCCUGCAGGGGAAAUCUUUGGUUCUCACAUCGACAUCCAGCUGUGUCUGGGUUGAAACUAUUUGUGAUGGUUUCAGAAUCCCUGCAGUGUCUUCUCAAAGACAGCCUGAUGCUCUCUGGAGCAAGGGCGCAUGGAACUUUGCUGGAUGAUCUGAGGUUACACCUUGUGACUUCACCUUUCCCCGAAUGCCAACAGGCGUAAUACGUACGGUCCACCUGCUCCAGCUCAACUCGCUCUUCAUCCAUGGGUUUCUGCACCAUCUUCCAGGGGACCAUCCCAUUAGGAGGCAUGGAAUAACUCCUGGCUAAGAGUUGGGAAACACUGGCCUCUGAGGCUGGUGAGGAAGGAGGACGAGGUCUUCCAUUUACCACGUUCCUGCUGUCAUCAUCAAGGCAGGUAACAUCAUUGUACCCACCAGGUCCAUGUGGACUUCCUCGGGCAGCAAUUGUAGCUUCAGCUGGGGCUGGCCCUAUGGUGCAGUGGGUUAAUGCCCUAGCCUGAAGCACUGGCAUCCCAUAUGGGCACCGGUUUGAGACCCGGCUACUCCACUUCCUGUCCAGCUCUCUGCUGUGGCCUGGGAAAGCAGUCGAAGAUGGCCCAAGUCCUUAGGCCCCUGUACCCACGUGGGAGACCCGGAGGAAGCUCCUGGCUCCUGGCUUCAGAUCGGCCCUGCUCCAGCUGUUGCAGCCAACUGGGGAGUGAACCAUCGAAUGGAAGACCUCUCUCUCUCUCUCUCUCUGCCUCUCCUCUCUCUGUAACUCUGACUUUCAAGUAAAAAUAAAUAAAUCUUAAAAAAAAAAAAAAAGAACUCUUCAGCUGCCUUUCUUCAGCCCCUACAAACUCGCCAUUCACUGGGCCUGAGACGUUCUCUCCUGGGUGGUCCGGGAGCCUCCCUGUGGGCCGAACACUGCGGCACGUCACUGAAGGCUGCCCUUCACUGCACGAAGCAGCACCCAAAUGGAAUGGACGACAUCCGUAGACUGAGGGUUUGAUCAGCUGAGAAGCAGUUAGCUAAUAAAACAAGGAUGGUCUAUAUGCAUCCAUGAAAAAUAAGCUACUGAGCUGUUGAGCAUAAAUUCCCGAUGUGAGUGCAUGCAAGCAUGAAACAGAAGUGGCUUAGUUAAGCACCAAGAAUCAGACAGAGGCACCAUAGUGAAUUCAGAGGAUUAGAACUUUCUAGCAUAGAAGGGUCAAUGAAAACCACAGAUGCCUCAUCUACCAAGCCAACACGUUCUCUGCAGAGAGGAACACCACAGGCUUGGUGAUACUGAGACCAUGGCUUACCAAAGUUCCUUUUUGUGUCAAGUUGUCAGCUAGGUACUUUAUAAUCAUAUCUGAAGCACACAACAGCCUAAUGGGAUACCUACUGUCAUUUCCAUCUUGCAAACACACACACUGAAGCUCAUAAAAACCAAGAUCUGGAGGUUGGAUGGCAUGGGAGGGAGAAAAGGGUUUUGGAUAAUA